AUAAUCUAGGCAAACAUGUGAGUGAUGUGUUUGUAAACCUGUUAUUUCUUGUCUCUGAACAGGAUGUUUCUGGGAAGUGUAAGCAACUAUUGCUCAAACCAUGCACAAUGCCCGGUAAUGAUAGUGAAGGGUACUUUUUGACAAACUGUUCCUGGUUAAACAGGACAGAAACCACAUUGUAAUGAUGAAGCACUUUCAUGGUCUUUGGUGAAUCCUGUUCAGUUGAGUCCCAAAUCACACGGCUUAAGGGUACUUUUAUCGAUCACCAAUUCCUUCUACUAUAGUGGUAUACUAUUUCUUUAAUUAAUUUCUGGUGAGAUAGUUUUUAUCGUUCUGCUUGGUAUUUUUAUGCAUUAUUUGUUUGUUGUUUAUUGUACAUUUACUUUUUUGACAACAAAAUUUGUUGUGGUUGUGGCUCUGCAGACUUGGUUUCUGCAUAUUUCCAAUAAUGCUCUCUUGUAAAUUUCUGAAAGAAUUUUCCAUUAUCAUUAAUUAUUGAUUUUGAUGGUUUGCAAGUGGGCUUGGGUUUUAUUUGUUAUCUUUGCUCAAUUUUGGGCAAUAACCCUUUUGCAUUUUUGGUUCCUUUCUUAUCACCUGAAUGAGCACUCAAUUUU